rnacentral:misc_RNA from 1 species
GAUGAAGAACGUAGCGAAAUGCGAUACGUAAUGUGAAUUGCAGAAUUCAGUGAAUCAUCGAAUCUUUGAACGCACAUUGCGCCCGCCAGCACUCUGGCGGGCAUGCCUGUUCGAGCGUCAUUUCAACCAUCAAGCCCCAGGCUUGCGUUGGAGCCCUGCGGCUGGCGCAGCCUCCUAAAAGCAGUGGCGGGCUCGCUAUCACACCGAGUGCAGUAGAUUACUCUUCGCUCAGGGCGUGCAGCGGGUUCCGGCCGUGAAACCCCCUACUUUUAAAGGUUGACCUCGGAUCAGGUAGGAAUACCCGCUGAACUUAAGCAUAUCAAUAAGCGGAGGA